rfam:Citrobacter rodentium ICC168, complete genome
CAAAAUGACUCGGGGUGCCCUUCUUUAUUGAAGGCUGAGAAAUACCCGUACCACCUGAUCUGGAUAAUGCCAGCGUAGGGAAGUCAGACACUGCCCGU